GACGAACGCUGGCGGCGUGCUUAACACAUGCAAGUCGAACGGAAAGGCCCUGCUUUUGUGGGGUGCUCGAGUGGCGAAAGGGUGAGUAACACGUGAGUAACCUGCCCUUGACUUUGGGAUAACUUCAGGAAACUGGGGCUAAUACCGGAUAGGAGCUCCUGCUUCAUGGUGGGGGUGGGAAAGUUUCGGCGGUUGGGGAUGGACUCGCGGCUUAUCAGCUUGUAGGUGGGGUAGUGGCUUACCAAGGCUUUGAAGGGUAGCCGGCCUGAGAGGGUGACCGGGCAAAUGGGGACUGAGAUACGGCCCAGACUCCUACGGGAGGCAGCAGUGGGGAAUAUUGCACAAUGGGCGGAAGCCUGAUGCAGCAACGCCGCGUGCGGGAUGACGGACUUCGGGUUGUAAACAGCUUUAGCCUGUGACGAAGCGUGAGUGACGGUAAUGGGUAAAGAAGCACCGGCUAACUACGUG
rnacentral:rRNA from 1 species